UCCAUCGCAGGGUCGCACCUGGAGAGUUUCCAGUACUCUACCAGCCUUGAUUACAGGAGGGAGAGUCAAGCAGAGGAAUUAUCUAUUCCAUUCCUGGCUUGGGCAGUGGCUAGAGAGUGGAAGGCAAUCUGCUUUGUUA